AAGACGUAACAAGGUAACCGUAGGUGAACCUGCGGUUGGAUCAUUAAAAAAGAUUUGGUCUAGUCCCAAAUCAACAACUGUGUGCACCAUUGUCUGUCCUUGGCAGUUCGAGUGCGCUCCUGAGCUCAACACUCUGGGCCUGCCUACUCUGGCUUAGUGCUGGGGUUGGACUGCUGCCUUGAUGAAAAACUUUUUUGUUUUAAUUUUUUUGUCUGAACGAACAGUUAAUCUUUUUGAUUAAUGAUUUGAAUACAACUUUUGACAACGGAUCUCUUGGCUCUC
rnacentral:misc_RNA from 1 species